rnacentral:rRNA from 1 species
AGUGAACGCUGGCGGUAGGCCUAACACAUGCAAGUCGAACGGCAGCACAGUAAGAGCUUGCUCUUACGGGUGGCGAGUGGCGGACGGGUGAGGAAUACAUCGGAAUCUACUUUUUCGUGGGGGAUAACGUAGGGAAACUUACGCUAAUACCGCAUACGACCUACGGGUGAAAGCAGGGGAUCUUCGGACCUUGCGCGAUUGAAUGAGCCGAUGUCGGAUUAGCUAGUUGGCGGGGUAAAGGCCCACCAAGGCGACGAUCCGUAGCUGGUCUGAGAGGAUGAUCAGCCACACUGGAACUGAGACACGGCCCAGACUCCUACGGGAGGCAGCAGUGGGGAAUAUUGGACAAGGGGCGCAAGCCUGAUCCAGCCAUACCGCGUGGGUGAAGAAGGCCUUCGGGUUGUAAAGCCCUUUUGUUGGGAAAGAAAAGAAGAAGGUUAAUACCCCGCUGUUCUGACGGUACCCAAAGAAUAAGCACCGGCUAACUUCG